AUUGAACGCUGGCGGCAGGCUUAACACAUGCAAGUCGAACGGUAACAGGGGAAAGCUUGCUUUCUUGCUGACGAGUGGCGGACGGGUGAGUAAUGCUUGGGAAUCUGGCUUAUGGAGGGGGAUAACGACGGGAAACUGUCGCUAAUACCGCGUAGAGUCGAGAGACGAAAGUGCGGGACCGCAAGGCCGCAUGCCAUGAGAUGAGCCCAAGUGGGAUUAGGUAGUUGGUAGGGUAAAGGCCUACCAAGCCGACGAUCUCUAGCUGGUCUGAGAGGAUGACCAGCCACACCGGGACUGAGACACGGCCCGGACUCCUACGGGAGGCAGCAGUGGGGAAUAUUGCGCAAUGGGGGCAACCCUGACGCAGCCAUGCCGCGUGAAUGAAGAAGGCCUUCGGGUUGUAAAGUUCUUUCGGUGACGAGGAAGGUUGUUGUGUUAAUAGCGCAACA
rnacentral:rRNA from 1 species